GUAUUGCUUGUCACAGUCCCAUUUUCCUUUCAAUUUUAUUUAUAUCAGUGAUGAACAAAAGUAAAAUUUAUGCUCAUAAUCAGCCUUUUUUUUUUUUUUUUUUUUUUUUUGUCUUUUUAGGGCCGCACCCGCAGCAUAUGGAGGUUCCCAGGCUAGGGGUCCACUCAGAGCUGUAGCUGCUGGCCUACACCACAGCCACAGCAACUCGGGAUCCGAGCUGUGUCUGCGACCCCACACCACAGCUCAUGGCAACACCGGAUCCUUAACCCACUAAGCAAGGCCAAGAAUUGAACCUUCAACCUUAUGGUGCCUAGUCGGAUUCACUAACCACUGAGCCACAUCGAGAACUCCAGGAACCUGUAUUUUUAAACCUCUCCCAAGGUGACACAGCCCUGCCAGGUGCAGGAGAGCCACCUCCCGGGACACAGCUGCUUGGUCACUCCUGGUGGGCCAGGAUUCCCAGCGCCCUGGGACCUUGUGAGUAUAAACUUCCUUCCGCCAAGCCCAGUAAGACAGCCUCCCCAGAGGAACAGACUGGUGGUGUCCAGACUUCCUCAAAGCCUGAGGGACUGAAGGUGGCUGGGCAGGCAGCCAAGGGGAGGGGAGGGGUGGAGUCCUCUGACAGCUGCCCUCAGCCUCAGGGCUGGCCCUGAGAAGCCCAGUGCCACUGGCCACCUGCCCAGUCAACAAUCCAGAAAGGGCCAGGCCACAUUCCCCUCUGCACUCUUGGCUGAAUGAACCAGAGGUCCUCAGACAAUGGUUCUGACUGCAGAAGUUUGAAAAAUGCUGCUGCCUAGGUGCCACCCCCAAGGAGGCCCCAGCUAGUUGGUCUGGGGUACACUUGACCACGGCUGAUUCUACUAUGUGCAAGCAGGGCGAGGACCAUGGAACUGGGGGGGAAGAGUGAACAUAAGGAAAGGACUUUGCUGGAGGCGAGUGUAGAACCCAGAAGAGAUCCUGCUCACGCCCCAAAAUGGGGAUUUUAUCCAGAGGGACGAUGGCGGUUACUAUUUCUGGGCUCCUGUGUGUGCUUACCACGUGCCAGCUGUCGUCCAAGGCAUCUUCACCUCUUCCCGGACCUGAGGGAGGGCUCACCUCACUCACCAAGUCCUGCUCUUAACCAGCUGGUUCUUGGAAGACUGUGAAGGCUCACAAAAAAAAAGAGUGAAGACUUUUCAUGAAAACCUAGAAAACUGCAAGCUACUUUACACCUACUCAUUCAAGAAAUGUCCAGCUUUCCUACCCUUUGUGCCUGGUGCUGACGUCCAGAGCUGGGCACUCAAACUGGAUGGGAAAGCACGCAGUAGUUCACAUAGCAUCCUGUUCAGAGAAAUGGCAAGAAACCGAAAAGUGGAGUGCACCACCCUCGGAGAGCUAAGAACUUUCUACAAGUUGUUGCAGUGGUGUGUGGGUCUGUGUGUAUGUGUCCACACUAGGUCUUGAUGGGAAAGGCAUUUCUUAUUGUCAGUCACAGUCCGAAACACUUGAGAAACAGAGACAGAUGGGCAAGAGACAAGCCUUCGUGUACCGAAUAUAAUUGUGUAAGCAAACGCAGUUCUGUUAACCUAAGAAGCCCCCAACUGUAACUGCGUGGUAGUUACAAAUUUCUAGAUACACCUUGAAAUUCACUUUGUGGCCAUGACACCCAAAGUAGAAGAAAUGGGUGAAAAGAGUAUAAACAGCCUUCUCCAUGGUUUGGAAAGCGUCCCCCACUCCCCCAGGAAUUUCAGCCCAGCACCACCAUCACCCCUAAGACCGACCAAUGGUGGGCCUUAAUGUCUUCCUCAAGUCUCGACGGUACAAUAGCACAUACCUUGGUAGAUUUAUGGAGAAAGAUCUCCGGACUAUUAGUCCACGGGGCGCCCAGGGGCUGAAUCGGCCCAGGGAAACCAGGAGUGGAAAGCUGCCCCCAGCAUCCCCAAACCCUUCCUUCUUCUCCGUCAGGCUGCUUAACCGUUUUCAGCCUGCUGAGCAUGCUAGUUGUUGCAGCUGGAUGGAGCCCAGGAUUCCUAGAGCUCUCAAAGGCGGUCCCACGAAUGAUGGGACUUCAGGCCGCUCAGAGCGCACAUCCAGCAGACCUGCAGCAAAGGACCAGCACAGCUACCAUGUACGGCUGUGCCGCAACCAAAUGCAGAGCAAACACGUCGGCCCAGCGUCGCCUGCCCUCGGGUUCGGGGGGCCUGGCUCCCCCAAUUCCAGCAUUAAGGAUGAUCCCCUGUACUUGCUGUCCUGUGGCAUCACCGGUAGGCGCUGGCUUCACUCUGGAAAACAACAUCUCACCCACCUGUGGACAAGCUUUUGUCCUAAAAACUGAUCAUUUCUCAGACUACAAGCUUCACCAAGUGCUUGAUACCGGCCCUCGAUCCGUUUGCAAGACCGGGGCUUCCAUGUUACGGUCUCAUAAAACACUGAACUCUCACGCAGCCACCUGUCAGUCAACCAGCAGCACAGCUUAGUGGUUACAUCCACAAAGGACUAAGCAAAGUGUUGGGAAGGUUACGCUCCAAAACGUUUCAGUUUUUACCUUUGGGGAGGGGUGAAAGAGGACAAGUUGAAAGGGUCUUUAAGGUGAAAUGUCUGACAUUUUAAUUUUCUUCACAAAAAUGCAUGAGUGUUAAUCUCUUCAAUGGCACAUUUAAAAAAAGAAAAAGCUAUCAGAAUUAUUUAGCGUUGAUAUUCCAGACUUAAGGACUCCUCUGAUGAGAAGCAGAUUCAAACAGUAGACGUAAGUCUACUCACAGAAUUCAAGGCACUAAACUUCGCAUUGUUCUUUUUUUUUUUUCUAUUUCAGAGAUGAUGAAACAGAACCCAGAGAGAGAAACUUACCCAGGUUCUCAUACCUAGUAAAUGGUGAAGUCAGCAUUCAAAUCCACAUAAUUUCAAGCAAAGAUUCUUCUUUCAUACAAGGGGGCAGAAGGUAAGUGAACACUGUAAGAUCUUUUCUGUCCACUAGUAGUAGAUACGCAACACCGGCUAAGAUGUAGGGAGAAAAGGCACUCUCAUCACCAUGGUGAUGCAACUAUUAACUGAUCCUCCUACUUUGAUAGGACCGUUCAAUAUUUUAAAUAUGUGAAUUCCUUUGAACCAGCCAUUUCCCCUGCAGAAAUUUAUCCUAGGGAAACCUAAAAAAAAAAAAAAAAAAAAA
rnacentral:lncRNA from 1 species